UUGUUUAUGAUGUUGAUCAAAUGUCUGACCUGAAGUGAGCGUGUAGACAGACCUAAGGCUGAACUG